GAUUCACCCUCACCCUCACCCAUCUUAACCGAUUCACCCUCACCCAUUCUCAAGGGUUUUUAGGUUUGGGUUCAGAUUUUGUAAAAAUGAAGCUCCGUCGGUGUUGGGGGAUUCAGCUUCGUCGGUGUUGGUGCUGACUGUAAGAGUUUUUGUUGUUGAUUUAGCAUCUUUGAGACCGUAAGCUCGAGUUCAUCUUCAGAAAGUUUGCUCGGUUCAUCUUCAAUUACUAGGAUGGUUAGGCAAGAAGACUAUGACCAAUAUGGUGAUUUCUUACAAGCUGAUUCUGAUUUUG